UACGGGGGGGGCAAGCGUUGUUCGGAAUUACUGGGCGUAAAGGGCUCGUAGGCGGCCAACUAAGUCGAACGUGAAAUCCCCGGGCUCAACCCGGGAACUGCGUCCGAUACUGGAAGGCUUGAAUCCGGGAGAGGGAUGCGGAAUUCCAGGUGUAGCGGUGAAAUGCGUAGAUAUCUGGAGGAACACCGGUGGCGAAGGCGGCAUCCUGGACCGGCAUUGACGCUGAGGCGCGAAAGCCAGGGGAGCAAAGCGGG
rnacentral:rRNA from 1 species